rnacentral:misc_RNA from 1 species
UAAUAAGUGUUUUAUGGCACUUUUUAAAUCCAUAUCCACCUUGUGUGCAAUGUCAGUCGAUCUUCUUCAUGGAGAUCGACCAAACAUCAACCUUUAUCUUGUAACUCUUUGUCUGAAAAAUAUUAUGAAUAAACAAUUCAAAAUA